UACGUAGGGUGCGAGCGUUAAUCGGAAUUACUGGGCGUAAAGCGUGCGCAGGCGGUUUUGUAAGCCAGAUGUGAAAUCCCCGGGCUCAACCUGGGAAUGGCAUUUGGGACUGCAAGGCUUGAGUGCGGCAGAGGAGACUGGAAUUCCUGGUGUAGCAGUGAAAUGCGUAGAUAUCAGGAGGAAUACCGAUGGCGAAGGCAGGUCUCUGGGCUGACACUGAUGCUCAUGCACGAAAGCGUGGGGAGCAAACAGG
rnacentral:rRNA from 1 species